ACAUAGCUCAGCGGUCAGAGCACCGGCCUCCAAAUCCGGAAGAACAAGGGUUCAACUCCCUUUGU
rnacentral:tRNA from 1 species